AGUGUGUGUGUGUGUGUGUGUGUGUAUCCUGCCUUGAUGCCCGAUGACGCCUGAGAUAGGCACAGGCUCCCCGUGACCCGAGAAGUUCGGAUAAGCGGUAGAAAAUGAAUGAAUGGAUUUACAAUUUCAAGUUCUGAGUGCAAGCACUUUAGGAGGCGGGGUUUGGAAAGGGCGGGGUUUAUACCAACCUGCACUCCAUAAAGUUUUUACAUAAUUCCUUUACUUCUCUUUAUUUUCCAAUAAAAGCAUUGGCAAUGAAUUUUUAUCCAUUUCUAGGUACAUUUCGGCUAGGAGAAAAAAAAUCUCAGAUCUGAAGCAUUUGUGGUUGAUGUUCAAAUCUUGAGCAGCCUGAAGCUUCCUCUCAGUGAUGUUUUUCUCUCUCUCUCUUUCUCACCCCUCAGACGAGGUAGAACAGCCUCCGGGGUGGAAAUAUGUGCUCUCCUGCAAGUGCCAUAACACUCUCAUCUCUCACAUCGCCAUGUCAGAGAUGAAAUAUGGAGAGAUCCAGGUGACGGAUCUGAAGGCUUCUGUGAGGCUUUUGAUGUUCCCAUGGCAUAUGUGAGUCAGGAGUCAGGAGUCAGGAGGUCGUAACGUACAGCACCGUCACUGGAUUCAUUUAUAUCUGGAUUUCUGCCAAGCCAAAUUGUGCUGAUGUUUGUUAGUGUCAUGUAAAUACAAUAGAACUGUACUGGACAAUGACGUGUUCUUAAAAACCCUGGUCAGGUUUCUGCACAAGUGACACCAAAGAACCCUGAAGGUUUUUAACUUUUUUUUUACUAUUUGAAAUAUUCAUGAUUAGAUAUUAGAGCCGUCUGAGCGAGACGCAGCGUUAUUAGGAAGGAAAUGUUCUUCGAGCCUGAGAGCCACUUCUCCGUUUCGUCUCUUUGACACGUGAGAACCGUCACCUCGUCGUCACAUCAGCACGUGUGAAUUUUUAAUUAGCGCAUUAAAUAUUCAAAAAUCACCCGAGCCAAUUAAAGGGAAAGGAAAAUGGGAUGUAACGGCUCGGAUAAAACGCGGUCACGUCGGGGUUAAAAAACUAGCGAGUUAUUCCUGACCGUACAGAUUUAAACCUUAACAACUUCCAAAAAACAAUACAUUUAUUAAGAAGAUAUUUAACGUCCGGUAGCUAUGUUCCAGAAUCAUCAACAUUCUAUGAAUAUGCAUGAUUAUGCAAAUUAGGACAGCGAAACAUUAGUUGGUUUGUUGCUUGCGUCAGAACUGAAUGUAACCAUGGUAACCACUAUAUCGUUCAGCAGUAAAAUUAGACAGCUUAUGUUAGCUAGCUUGACCUCCAGAGAUUAUUUAUUGACAGCUGAGCUGAUGUGUAGCCCAGCCCACUAAAUGAUCCUUUGCUGAUGGUCUUCAUAACUUUCAUGACGAGUUUGACGAGCACUAAUAAUGUUGACGUGAUAACGAGAUCCAUUCUGUGGUUCGGUAUCAGCGUGUGUGUGUCAAAAGUCGCUAUAUUUUACAUCGGUUUCAUAACAAGACAUGAAAGGCACUAAUUGGAAAGUGGAGUGUGAGUGAUUUAACUCUACACAGGACCUUAAUGAGAACGAGAGAGAGAUCCUGUGAAUUUACAGACUCAUGAACACGUGGAGGUUAUUCGGCUGUGCGCAAAGUGACACAAGUGCAGCAAUUACUGAGGACUAACUGCUGUUUCUGCUGCACGGCUAAUUAAUCAGAAACCGGCGUGGAGUCAGUCUUCAGCUCGCUAAUCACCCAACCACAUAAACAGUGCAGAUUUACCAGCUUUAAAUCGUCCGUCUGAGAGCUCUCAAAGCUUUACAGCUGACACUACAUGGAGACUCCUUCCACAGAUACAGAAGACAAACCUCACUAUGGCUAAGGUUACACCACUUUUAUUUAAAUGUGCUGUUAAUACGGAUACAGUGAUGUGUAGCUGCAAUACUAUCAGAGCUGUUGUUAUAGAAAACUACUCAAAACCUGACAACCAAUCAGAAUCCAGCACUCAGUUCAAAGCACACGCAUCAGUUUAUUCAUCAAACAUCAUUUCUUGAGAACGAUAUGCGAUGCACAAUUUAUAAAAUUUAAAAAAUUAAUUCA